GACGAACGCUGGCGGCGUGCUUAACACAUGCAAGUCGAACGGAAAGGCCCUGCUUUUGUGGGGUGCUCGAGUGGCGAACGGGUGAGUAACACGUGAGUAACCUGCCCUUGACUUUGGGAUAACUUCAGGAAACUGGGGCUAAUACCGGAUAGGAGCUCCUGCUGCAUGGUGGGGGUUGGAAAGUUUCGGCGGUUGGGGAUGGACUCGCGGCUUAUCAGCUCGUUGGUGGGGUAGUGGCUUACCAAGGCUUUGACGGGUAGCCGGCCUGAGAGGGUGACCGGCCACAUUGGGACUGAGAUACGGCCCAGACUCCUACGGGAGGCAGCAGUGGGGAAUAUUGCACAAUGGGCGGAAGCCUGAUGCAGCAACGCCGCGUGCGGGAUGACGGCCUUCGGGUUGUAAACCGCUUUCGCCUGUGACGAAGCGUGAGUGACGGUAAUGGGUAAAGAAGCACCGGCUAACUACGUGCCAGCAGCCGCGGUGAUACGUAGGGUGCGAGCGUUGUCCGGAUUUAUUGGGCGUAAAGGGCUCGUAGGUGGUUGAUCGCGUCGGAAGUGUAAUCUUGGGGCUUAACCCUGAGCGUGCUUUCGAUACGGGUUGACUUGAGGAAGGUAGGGGAGAAUGGAAUUCCUGGUGGAGCGGUGGAAUGCGCAGAUAUCAGGAGGAACACCAGUGGCGAAGGCGGUUCUCUGGGCCUUUCCUGACGCUGAGGAGCGAAAGCGUGGGGAGCGAACAGGCUUAGAUACCCUGGUAGUCCACGCUGUAAACGGUGGGUACUAGGUGUGGGGUCCAUUCCACGGGUUCCGUGCCGUAGCUAACGCUUUAAGUACCCCGCCUGGGGAGUACGGCCGCAAGGCUAAAACUCAAAGGAAUUGACGGGGCCCCGCACAAGCGGCGGAGCAUGCGGAUUAAUUCGAUGCAACGCGUAGAACCUUACCUGGGUUUGACAUGGAUCGGGAGUGCUCAGAGAUGGGUGUGCCUCUUUUGGGGUCGGUUCACAGGUGGUGCAUGGCUGUCGUCAGCUCGUGUCGUGAGAUGUUGGGUUAAGUCCCGCAACGAGCGCAACCCUUGUUCACUGUUGCCAGCACGUUAUGGUGGGGACUCAGUGGAGACCGCCGGGGUCAACUCGGAGGAAGGUGGGGAUGACGUCAAGUCAUCAUGCCCCUUAUGUCCAGGGCUUCACGCAUGCUACAAUGGCUGGUACAGAGAGUGGCGAGCCUGUGAGGGUGAGCGAAUCUCGGAAAGCCGGUCUCAGUUCGGAUUGGGGUCUGCAACUCGACCUCAUGAAGUCGGAGUCGCUAGUAAUCGCAGAUCAGCAACGCUGCGGUGAAUACGUUCCCGGGGCU
rnacentral:rRNA from 1 species